UUUAAAAACAAAAUAAGUUAAAUCAUUUUGAUUUAGAUUAAGCUAUAUUAGAUAAAUUAUUGAUACGAGUUUAUCAAAUACUAUAAAUUUAUCAUUUUUAUAAACUAGAAAUUUUUGCUGCAUAAAAUAAUAUAAAUUGGGUUAAAAAUAACUUGGGCUAUAUAUUUAAUAAAAUUUACUCAACAUAGAAAACAUUUGUUUUUUUUUUUGAAAAUUAGAAAACAUGGUUUAAUUAAUCUGAAUAUGAAAAUUGGACUUUUAAAGAAUUUUUUUGGAGCAAUUUUUGAAAUGACCGAAUAAUUAAAGAACAUUUAGAUUCUUCUAGAUUAAGAAAAAAGAGAUGAAUAAUGGUUAUUAUGAGUAUUAAAUUGCGUACUUUUCAAAUGGCAUAUUUGAUUAUUUUUAAAUAGUUGUAACCUUUAGUUUUUUGUAGUGCUGAUGUGCAGUCUGUUAAUCUUAUUAAGGGGGUGUUGGAUGAUUUUGCUUCCGUUUCGGGUCUGACUGUAAGCACGGCUAAGAGUGAUGUGCUUAUUGGGGGUGUCUCAGAGGAUCUCAAAGCUCUUAUUUUUUCUUCUUUGGGGAUGAAGGAAGGGUCUCUCCCCUUUCGCUACCUAGGAGUUCCUAUCUCUUCUCGUCGUCUCAAGUUUGUUGAUUUCAAAAGCCUUGUUAAUAAAAUCCUUGUCAGGAUCCAGGAUCCUUAAUUGGACUAGUCGCUCCCUUUCCUAUGCUGGGGCCUGGGAGGGUCUAAUUGGUGAGUAGUGCGUUUCGAGGAAGCCAUUGUUCAGUUUGCUCAUUAUGCUAGUCGAAAGAAUUGGAAAUACCGUCUGUGAAGCUUAUGUUGGGUGGAGAUGUUGUUCAUGAUUUGGUCCCAGCGCAACCUUUGUAUUUUCAUGGAGAGGAGGUCUACAAGCGGUCAGCUUCUGAAAGCUAUUUUAUUUAAAGUGGCUAGUAGAGCUUCUAGUCCUAUAGUUGCAUAUUUUACUUAGAUGAUUAGUUUGGCCUUUAUUUUUUGGCCAUUUGUUGUAAAUUUUGGUUGGUUUUUGUUUUGUUUCUUUGUGGCCCCUUCAGAUGUUUCUUGGGCCUUUGUAGGGUUGUUGUCCGGUGCCUUCUUUAUUUUGAAUUUUAAUAAAAUCUUUUAAUUUCAAAAAAAAAAACAAAAUAAAAUAAUAAUAAUAAUAGAAAAAAAAAA